rnacentral:rRNA from 1 species
GAGACGUGUGUCCUUGUGACACGAAGCAAUCGGAAGUGGUUCCAAGAAAAGCCUCUAAGCUUCAGUCAUACGAGACCGUACCGCAAACCGACACAGGUGGGCGAGAUGAGUAUUCUAAGGCGCUUGAGAGAACUCGGGAGAAGGAACUCGGCAAAUUGGUACCGUAACUUCGGGAUAAGGUACGCCCCGGUAGCUUGACCACUUUACUGUGGAAGGGUGAAAGGGUUGCAAUAAACUGGUGGCUGCGACUGUUUAAUAAAAACACAGCACUCUGCAAACACGAAAGUGGACGUAUAGGGUGUGACGCCUGCCCGGUGCUGGAAGAUUAAAUGAUGGGGUGCAAGCUCUUGAUUGAAGUCCCAGUAAACGGCGGCCGUAACUAUAACGGUCCUAAGGUAGCGAAAUUCCUUGUCGGGUAAGUUCCGACCUGCACGAAUGGCGUAACGAUGGCCACACUGUCUCCUCCCGAGACUCAGCGAAGUUGAAAUGUUUGUGAUGAUGCAAUCUACCCGCGGCUAGACGGAAAGACCCCAUGAACCUUUACUGUAGCUUUGCAUUGGACUUUGAACCAAUCUGUGUAGGAUAGGUGGGAGGCUUUGAAGCGGGGACGCCAGUUCUCGUGGAGCCAACCUUGAAAUACCACCCUGGUUCGUUUGAGGUUCUAACCUUGGCCCGUGAUCCGGGUCGGGGACAGUGCAUGGUAGGCAGUUUGACUGGGGCGGUCUCCUCCUAAAGUGUAACGGAGGAGUUCGAAGGUACGCUAGGUACGGUCGGACAUCGUGCUAAUAGUGCAAUGGCAUAAGCGUGCUUAACUGCGAGACCGACAAGUCGAGCAGGUACGAAAGUAGGACAUAGUGAUCCGGUGGUUCUGUAUGGAAGGGCCAUCGCUCAACGGAUAAAAGGUACUCUGGGGAUAACAGGCUGAUUCCUCCCAAGAGUUCAUAUCGACGGGGGAGUUUGGCACCUCGAUGUCGGCUCAUCACAUCCUGGGGCUGUAGCCGGUCCCAAGGGUAUGGCUGUUCGCCAUUUAAAGUGGUACGUGAGCUGGGUUUAAAACGUCGUGAGACAGUUUGGUCCCUAUCUGCCGUGGGCGUUGGAAAUUUGAAGGGGGCUGCUCCUAGUACGAGAGGACCGGAGUGGACGAACCUCUGGUGUACCGGUUGUCACGCCAGUGGCAUUGCCGGGUAGCUAAGUUCGGAAGAGAUAACCGCUGAAAGCAUCUAAGCGGGAAACUCGCCUUGAGAUGAGAUUUCCCGGAGCCUUGAGCUCCUUGAAGGGUCGUUCGAGACCAGGACGUUGAUAGGUCAGGUGUGGAAGUGCAGUAAUGCAUUAAGCUAACUGAUACUAAUUGCCCGUACGGCUUGUCCCUAUAACCUUGGCAG